GCACAUAGUUCAGUUGGUUAGAAUGGGGUGCUGAUAAUGCCAAGGUUGCAGGUUCGAUUCCUGUAAGGGACAGCUGCA